ensembl:lncRNA
CAAUAAUACGAUAUUACAGUGUUAUAACGUGCAUUAAUGGAUUAUUAUGAUUUAUAUAUUUAUAUAGUGGGUUUUAGUGAAUACACGUAAAUACAAAUAAAAAUAAUUCUUCACACAAGUUCAACACAAAAGGUUCCUGGAAAAGGUUUAAUAAAGUAAAGUGAAUGUAAUCAGUAUGUUUGGUGUAAUGUCAGAUCUUUGUGUGGAUUAGAUCAGAAGUGAUAAAGACUCAAACGUGUUCAGCGGUGUUCCUGUAUUAUUAUUAUUAUUAUUAUUAUUAUUAUUAUUAUUAUUACUGCACGUUGAUACAGUUUCUUCACACACUUCCAGCCUGUUCCUCUGUUUAACACACACACACAUACACACACAUACACAAACAAACACAAACAUACACAUACACAAACAUAUAUAUACACAUACACACACACUCACACAUACACAAACACACACACACACAUAUACACACACACAUACACAAACAUAUAUAUACACAUACACUCACCCACAUACACAAACAUACACACACACACACACACACACACACAUAUACACACACACAUACACAAAGAUAUAUACACACACAUACACAAACACGCGCACACACACAAGGUUCACGGUAAAGGUUUAGACCCUACACAAAUAAUAAUAAUAAUAAUAAUAAUAAUAAUAAUAAUAAUAAUAAUAAUAAAACUCCAACAUAAAGUUUUAGUGAAACUCCGGCGGGAAGUUUCUUUCUUUCUUUCUUUCUUUCUUUCUUUCUUCACCUUUUCUUUCUUUUUUCUUUUUUGUCUUUUUGCUCUCAUGACAAAUAAAAAAUGGCGGUCAGUGCACUGUCUUUCCGAAGUUUGUUCUCUCGGUCAAAACUGGAGUCAAAAACAAACAAAAAAAGAACAAACAAAAAUAAUAAUUUAAUUUAAAAAAAACAACAAAAAAACAAAAACAAAACAAAAAAAACGACUAAACACAAACCGCUCGCGCUGUUCCGCGGGUAAAUAAUACUGAUUAUUCUCCGCGCGCAUGAAUGGAGAAGGGGGAAAGAGAGACGGGGGGAAAAUACCGACACACGCACGCACGCACGCACACACACACACACACACACACGCACGCGUGAGUGUGUACAGAAGGAGAAAAUGCGGUGAAUGCGCGCGGAGUGAAGGAGUAAAGGGAAGAAUGAAGAUGGGAUGAAGGGAGGCAGAAGUGGAGGAGUGAAGGGAUGAAGGAGUGGAGGAGUGAAGGGGUGAAGGAGUGAAGGAGUGGAGGAGUGAAGGAGUGGAGGAGUGAAGGAGUGAAGUAGUGGAGGAGUGAAGUAGUGGAGGAGUGAAGUAGUGGAGGAGUGAAGCGGCUCGAACGCGCGUCGGCUCGCAGUCACUUACUUUUCUGUGUCCUGUGACAUGAUGAUGUCUUUUGGACUCCUCGCCGAUAAUUCCUGGAGAAACUGGACUUUCAGCCCUGAUUCCAUUGGUCGAGGUGUGUAAGGAGGUCGGGCUGUGAUUGGCUGAGCCAGCACAGGUCCUGAAGGCCAGGAAGUGAAAUCACAGAGAAAUGAUACCAACUGAACGAAAUGUGCUUAACCUCACGGGGAAACAUAACACACGCCGAGGAAAGCGCUAUCUGCCUUCUUCCACACACACCAGCUAACAGAUCAUCACUGUGAUUGACAGGUGAGAGAGAGUAAGCCCCUCCCACCCACAGAGCAGGUCACACCUUUCCCUCUCUCACCUUUUUUGAAGUUGAAGUUAAAGUCACAAGUUCGAAUCCUGAAGAUGUCACAUGGCCGGAAGGCAAGAGACCGAAACCGGCGGUGUUUUCUGGGUGGGAGGGGCUUACUCUCCCACGCCCCUGUCAAUCACAGCGACACGAGCCAAUCACAGGCAUCUGUGAGCUGGAGUAUGAGGAAGAGGACGAGAAGAGGAUACUGUAGACAGUGCCUUCCUGCGAGUUUAGAGUUCUUACUCUGUACUUCAUCGAGUUAAUCCACUCUUUUCGUUUAGAAUUUCACAGAUUUAUGAAUUUAAACGUUCACCUCUUUAAAAAUGUUUUGUUUUUCACGCUUUUAAGAAGGUUCCCUCCCGUUUUAAAGUCUUUUUAGAAGUGAUUUCUGCAGAUUUUUAAUCUCUGAUUAACACGGAACACCCACACCACCACCAUUCCCUCAACUCGUCCAAUCACUCGCCUGCAGUAACCACUUCAUCCUGUAUUCGUAAAUAUUUAUCAUAUGUGCGGCCAAUUUCAAGACAACUACCUCAGCGUACUGUUGCACGGCACAAAUACGCAAUAUUUCUAUACUUUUUUAAAAAUAUUUCCCUUUUUCUAGUCGUAUGGAAGUAAUUGUGGUCUGUGUAAACUGUAUUUUAUGUCACGGACAGUCGUAAAAAGCCGUACUGUGUACGCUUGUGUGCGUGACGGUCGAAGGAUUGAGGUAAAAGUAGAUUUGGGAUCGAGUCGUCAGCGAUCAGCGACGGGCAGCCCUGAGACCCGACACACACGGGGUUUAUCCUGCGCCGCUCGGCGGGAAGCGAGUUUGAUGUGCAGGUGAGCGAGGCUGAAAGGACAGCGUGAUGUCAUGGAGUUGAUUCCGUUGCCGCUUGUGCAACUCGUCGUGAUGUGACUUGCCCUCCACUUAACUGUCAGCGUUAUUUCCCAGAAAUUAGCGAGGGCCGAGUGCCAUUCUCCCACGGUGCUGAGCUGAGAAAGCUUCCACGGAUCAGGCACGGACACGCCGCCAGACCUGACCAGAAAAUCAACUCCAUGACAGUUUUUAAGAAUCGGAGCGGAUUCUUCUCCACACAUUUAUACCUGACCUUAGUGCUUCACUCUUUAACUCCCUCUGAGCCUUUGACAGCUGAGACACCCGGCAGUGGAGAGGUGGAGAGGUGCUGCAUGCCUGAGAUUUCUGAGUGGUAAGAAAGGGAAACCUGUUAGGACCUGCCUGGCCUGAUCCUGUGUACCUGUUGGACAG